CUUACAUUUUGUUUGUCAAUGUCAUGUCAUUAGUCAGUCUCAUCACCUUUGAAUAGCAGAACAGAACGAACACUAUCACCAAUUCGUAUUGUGGCUUUUUGCAUGUGUCUUAAAUUCUCAUAUUUGAUAAUAAAUGCAACAAUAAAAUAUUUCCCUUAUUCUGCCACAGUUAUGCACCAGUCAAUUGUAACAAUGGCGCCCAGGUCUUGUUUAUACCGGGGAUAGCAGGGGAAAUGGGCCAUGUUUUUACCUUCCAGGUGGACCGGCAGUGCUGAGUGAAUGCGGUGUUAUUGUUUUUGCGCUGAUAACAGGGAAUGGGCCUAACCUAGGAUGUCCCCAGGGGCAUUUGACGGGGAUCUGGUCAUUUCGUAACCUUACCAUUUCGUAACUGCUGAUCUUGGUUAUUUCGUAACCAUUCUGUUAGUCAAUUCGUAACCGUCAAGUAAUCAAUUGACCUUUCGACAGCGGCUUCUAAGCCACGCCCCCUGAUAUCAAGGGAGCGAACUCUGUCUAUGUCCGUCAAACAAACGAGGAAGUAAUGGCGUCUCGCGUCGUUUCGCUUUCCGAUAUUCCUGACAAAUUAUCAUAAAUGUGACAUUACAAUGCGAAAAAAAUAGAAGUCAAAGGAAUUUGUAACUGGCUGCUACAUCGGAAGGCUCGAUAUAUCUUUAGAAAAUGACGAUAUCUAACAUUUACGGGGUGAAAUCUAUCCAAGUCAGAGAAAAUCGGAUAGCCGCCAUGUUGUCAACAUUGACAUCGAUACAAAGGAAAAGCGUGUGUGUGACGCAUACUGUAAAUGCAAACAAGGAAAUUGUGGAACAUGUUCACACACUCUGGCUGUAAAAGUAGACCUGGGAGGAAAAGUGCCCCCGGUGUGGGGCUCGAACUCACAACCACCAGAACACUAGCCCGGCGCUCUAACCAACUAAGCUGACUGGGCAGCUGGUUCUAACCCACACACACUACCCUCCCCCCAUUUACCGGUUAAGGCUGGUGGAGGGUCUCCUGCUAUUUACCGUUGACACCAUUAAAGUAUUCUGAUUGAUGGAGAUAAGGAAGUCCCCUUAUUAUUGUCUUCAACAAGCCUACCGCCACAGGGGACCUAGCAUAAGACCGGAAACCGCCCCCCCCCCCACACACACAUGAUAUUUGCCAGUCCAGGCAAUGUCAACCGCAAGAGAAAACCAGUGAUGACAAGUUUUACAAAUAAACGGAAAGUGUGGUCUUUUGAAGAGAGUUCUUGAAGUUGUUCAGCAUGUUGUUUUGAUGGAUUCUUGGAAGGAUGUACCUCUAUGAUGUUAGCUUCAGUUCUGGAGUAUAACACCAGUUGUUGCAUAUUUAAUAUCAGAUUUAUUAAAUACAUUGUUGUUUUGCAAACAUUACUUAAACUUUGAUAUUUCUUUGAUGUUUAUGUAUGAUAUUGUAGGUGACUAUCUCUUUAUUGCAAUGGCAAAUAUAUUUUAAAAUAUAUAGCAUUAGCAGAAGUUAUUUUUCACUGUUAAAGCUGCACUUUCACAGAUUGAUCACUUUGACAACUUACACAGGAUUCGAUUGCAUUUAUCAUGUUUUGGCUCGGAGAAGUUUGCUUUGUGAUUUAUAUAUUAGGUCUUAAUUUAAAGAAUGCCAAAAUAAGCCGAUUCUGAGACAAAAAGUGUCAAACUAGAAUUCUGUGAGAGUGCAACUUUAAGAAUACUGUUAAUCGAGUGUGCAUGUGAUCCGGACUCUGAACAUUGGA